UUUUGUAAUCUCUUAAUGCUAUUAUGGUAAUCCUGAUGACUUUUCUCGCGUUUUCCCUUCACAUGCAUAUUUAACGGUGAAUGUGAACAAUUGAAGACAAUGGCUUUGGCAGAAGGCAAGCUACGAAUUGAGCUUGUUUGGUUGUUACCCGCACAAGAAAUACAAUAGGCCUUGAGGGUUUGGAGUUGACUGCAGCAAUAUUACUUCUACCAUCCCUGUUAAAAGAAGAUUCGUCAACUUUAUUUGUGAUAGAUCAGGACCCAGCCUUCCCAACCCCUGUGAUUUGUUUUACAUGACUGUACAGAGGGAAAUCCUAUGUCAUACGAGAAAGUGACCGUCGUAAUGGAUGGCCAGUCCAUGCUAACUGAUGAUUUGAAUCUCUUGCUUUGGGGGCUGUCUGUUUUUUCUUUAUAUUAUAUAUUUGGUAUUGAAUAUCCAAAGCAGACGAGGAAGACAAUGAACUUUUUGGCGGCAUUUGUCUUCAAACUUAAUACUUUAAAGACAAUUUGCCUUAAAAUACUAUAUAAUGCUGUUUCGGCCUCUGUUUAGAAAAUAAACACAUAAAGUGACCAUUAAGGUUCUGUUCUGAAAGUGCUGCAGAAAUGUUUAGUGUUUUAAGUUUGUUUUUACUGGAGUUUA